UCCUUGGUGGUCCAAUGGUUAAGACUCCAAGCUUCCACUGCGGAGGGCACAGGUUCAAUCCCUGGUUAAGGAA
rnacentral:tRNA from 1 species